rnacentral:rRNA from 1 species
AUUGAACGCUGGCGGCAGGCCUAACACAUGCAAGUCGAGCGGAUGAAGGGAGCUUGCUCCUGGAUUCAGCGGCGGACGGGUGAGUAAUGCCUAGGAAUCUGCCUGGUAGUGGGGGAUAACGUCCGGAGACGGGCGCUAAUACCGCAUACGUCCUGAGGGAGAAAGUGGGGGAUCUUCGGACCUCACGCCAUCUGAUGAGCCUAGGUCGGAUUAGCUAGUUGGUGGGGUAAAGGCCUACCAAGGCGACGAUCCGUAACUGGUCUGAGAGGAUGAUCAGUCACACUGGAACUGAGACACGGUCCAGACUCCUACGGGAGGCAGCAGUAGGGAAUAUUGGACAAUGGGCGAAAGCCUGAUCCAGCAAUGCCGCGUGGGUGAAGAAGGUCUUCGGAUUGUAAAGCACUUUAAGUAGGGAGGAAGGACAGUAAGUUAAUACCUUGAUGUUUUGACGGUACCUACAGAAUAAGCACCGGCUAACUUCGUG